CCAGCGAGCUCUGCACCAUUCAAGAGUAAACAUUGAAAUGAUUUUUUGUUUAUAACUGGGGUUUGUGGGUAGCCUCAUAUUAGGAUUUCAUGGUAUCUAUACACCAGAUCCCUCCAAUCACGCGCUGCCAUUCGCUAGGCCAUUCGUGCGGGCACCAAUUACGACUCUCCACGGUAGGUUUAGUUACACCUUUCAUUUGUUUUUAGGGACACGUCAGGUGUUCUGAUAUAGGCUCACUGUCAUUUAUUAAUAUGGCUGGCUAGUGGAGGGAGAUGAAGAGAAAAGUGCCAGUGUUUGGGAGGAGGAAAACUCACAGUGUGGGCUAUUUAGCCACAGCAUUGUUUAAGAUGCGGCAUGGAGACGUGAAGAAGGUUUCAUGUCUUUAUCAACGAAGCCGCUAAAUUGUACCCACCGCCAUCGGUCUGAGAAUAUCAGCACAACACUGCAGGCAUGUCACAGCAGGAGAUGGCAUGGCAUCUCACACAGGAGGGUGUCACACUUGUCAUAUUGGGAAUACCACCAGGAAAAGAAUUCGGAAUUGAUGUCAACUUCUGGAAUGUUGGGGAGUGGUUCCGGGGAGAGAAGAUGAUCCCUCCUGGCCUCCAUUUAAUUUAUUCCAGUGCAGUCAGCCUUCAAGGGGACACAGCUCCAUGCACAGGUUUCUUCCACUUGUUCCGAGGUUGUGGUUAGGCAUUAUGACCCAGCUGCCAAGGACUUGAAGGUGGAAGGAGGGUCACCAGUCAAGGGCAACAAGGAUCUAAAAAAAAAAAAAAAAAAAAACCGAUGCCAGUCCCCAAACAGGGUCCAAAGCAGUCGUCAAAAACUGAAGGAUGAGUGUUGAAACAUCCCUCUUGAAGGAAUUCAAGUCAUUGGAAAUACAGAAGCAGGGAGAGAGUUCCAGAGUUUACCAGAGAAUGGGAUGAAUGACUGAAAAUACUGGUAAUUCUUGCAUUAGAGAGGUGUACAGAAUAGGGGUGAGAGAAGGAAGAAAGUCUUGUACAGCAAGGCUGCGGGAGGAGGGGAGGCAUGCAGUUAGCAAGAUCAGAAGAGCAGUUACCAUGAAAAUAGCAGUAGAAGAUAGCUAGAGAUGCAAGUGCAACAUUGCAGCUAUGAGAAAGAGGCUGAAGACAGUCAAUCAGAGGAGAGUUGAUGAGAUGAAAAGCUUUUGAUUCCACCCUGUCUAGAAGAGCAUUAUGAGCGGAACCACCCCACACAUAUGAAGCAUAGUCCAUACAAGGACGGAUAAAGCCCUUGUCCAGAGUUAGCAGCUGGAAGGGUGAGAAAAACCGGUGGAGACGUCUCAGAACACCCAACUUCAUAAACACUAUUUUAGCGAAACAUGAGAUGUGAAGUUUCCAGUUUAGAUUAUAAAAGGACAGAACGAGGAUGUUCUGUGUAGAAGGGGGGUCAGUUGAGUGUCACUAAAGAAGAAGGGAUAAUUGUCUGGAAGGUUGUGUCAAGUUGAUGGAUGAAGAAUUGAGUUUUUGAGGUAUUGAACAAUACCAAGCUUGCUCUGCCCCAAUCAAAAAUUUUUGGAAGAUCACAAGUCAGGCAUUCUGAGGCUUCCCUAUGUGAACUGUUUAUUUCCUGAAGGGUUGGACAUCUAUGAUAAGAUGUGGAAAAGUGCAGGGUGGUAUCAUUAGCAUAGGAGUGGAUAGGACAAGAAAUUUGGUUUAGAUCAUUCACAAAUAACAGGAAGAGAGUGGGUGACAGGACAGAACCUUGAGGAACACCACUGUUAAUAGAUUUAGGAGAAGAACAGUGACUGUCUACCACGGCAGCAAUAGAAUGGUCAGAAAGGAAACUUCAGAUGAAGUUACAGAGAGGAGGAUAGAAGCCGUAAGAGAUUAGUUUGGAAAUCAAAGCUUUACGCCACACUCUAUCAAGAGCUUUUGAUAUGUCUAAGGCAACAGCAAAAGUUUCACGAAAAUCUCUAAAAUAGGAUGACCAAGUCUCAGUAAGGAAAGAUAGAUUACCAGUAAAGCAGCCUUGACGGAACCCAUACUGGUGAUCAGAUAGAAGGUUGUGAAGUGAUAGCUGUUUAAGAACAAUCUUCCUGUUGAGGAUAGAUUAAAAAACUUUAGAUAGGCAGGAAAUUAAAGCAAUAGGAUGGUAAUUUGAGGAAUUAGAAUGGUCACCCUUUUUAGGAACAGGCUGAAUGUAAGCAAACUUCCAGCAAGAAGGAAAAGUGGAUGAUGACAGACCUGAAAGAGUUUGACUAGGCAAGGUGCAAGUACAGAGGCACAGUUUCAAAGAACAAUAGGAGGGACCCCAUCUGGUCCAUAAGCCUUCUGAGGGUUUAGGCCAGCAAGGGCAUGGAAAACAUCAUUGCAAAGGAUUUUAAUGGGUAGAAUAAAGUAGUCAGAGGGUGGAGGAGAGGGAGGAACAAGCCCUGAAUCAUCCAAGGUAGAGUUUUUAGCAAAGGUUUGACCGAGAAGUUCAGCUUUAGAGAUAGAUGUGAUAGUGGUGCCGUUUGGUUAAAAUAAAGGAGGGAAAGAAGAAAAAGCAAAAUUAUUGAAGAUAUUUUUGGCUAGGUGCCACAAGUCACGAGGGGAGUUAGACCUUGAAAGAUUGUGACACUUUCUCUUAAUGAAGUAGUUUUUGGCUAGUUGGAGAACAGACUUGGCAUCGUUCCGGGCAGAAAUAUAAAGCAUACGAGAUUCUGGUGAUGGAAGGCUCAAGUACCUUUUAAGGGCCACCUCUCUAUCAUGUAUAGCAUGAAAACAGGCUGUGUUAAACCAAGAUUUCGAAGAUUUAGGAAGAGGAAAAGAGUGGAGAAUGUACACCUAUAUUCCAGACUACUACUACUACUACUACUACUACUACUAC